rnacentral:misc_RNA from 1 species
GUGGCAUUGAAGUUCUUGCUCUAUUUAUGAGUUGCAUAGAUUUUGAUUUAUGAUGUGCUCAUUAACAUGUUGCUUGAUUAAUUUUUUCAUAUGUGCAUCUUUUAUUGGGUGCUUUUGAGUCCUUCAGAUAACUAUGGCUAGCAAUUAUCAAGUUAGGCUUGGCUUAGAGUUUAGUUGAGCAUUUAAGAUUCUAAAUUGUUGAUUUCCUUUUUCUUUUCCUUAUAUUCUCUUCAAUAACCAGAUGGGCUAUAAGCAAUGAAUAGUUGAUUUAUGGGUGAGAGAAUGGUACUUUUGCAUGUACU